UAUCCGGAAUUAUUGGGCGUAAAGAGCUCGUAGGCGGUUCGUCGCGUCCGGUGUGAAAGUCCAUCGCUUAACGGUGGAUCCGCGCCGGGUACGGGCGGGCUUGAGUGCGGUAGGGGAGACUGGAAUUCCCGGUGUAACGGUGGAAUGUGUAGAUAUCGGGAAGAACACCAAUGGCGAAGGCAGGUCUCUGGGCCGUUACUGACGCUGAGGAGCGAAAGCGUGGGGAGCGAACAGGAUUAGAUACCCUGGUAGUCCACGCCGUAAACGGUGGAUGCUGGAUGUGGGGCCCGUUCCCCGGGUUCCGUGUCGUGAG
rnacentral:rRNA from 1 species